GGGCCGGUAGCUCAGCGGUAGAGCAGGAGCCUUUUAAGCUCUUGGUCAGAGGUCCGAAUCCUCUCCGGCUCA
rnacentral:tRNA from 1 species